rnacentral:rRNA from 1 species
CCCGGCAAACGGGCGGGACAUGCGGAUUAUUCGAUGCAACGCGAAGAACCUUACCAAGGCUUGACAUGGACCGGACCGCCGCAGAAAUGUGGUUUCCCCUUUGGGGCUGGUUUACAGGUGGUGCAUGGUUGUCGUCAGCUCGUGUCGUGAGAUGUUGGGUUAAGUCCCGCAACGAGCGCAACCCUCGUUCUAUGUUGCCAGCACGUGAUGGUGGGGACUCAUAGGAGACUGCCGGGGUCAACUCGGAGGAAGGUGGGGACGACGUCAAAUCAUCAUGCCCCUUAUGUCUUGGGCUUCACGCAUGCUACAAUGGCCGGUACAAAGGGUUGCGAUACUGUGAGGUGGAGCUAAUCCCAAAAAGCCGGUCUCAGUUCGGAUUGGGGUCUGCAACUCGACCCCAUGAAGUCGGAGUCGCUAGUAAUCGCAGAUCAGCAACGCUGCGGUGAAUACGUUCCCGGGCCUUGUACACACCCGCCCGUA